AUUUUCGCUUCCCCAGGUCGCGGCGGCGGGAGCAACAAGCAGCGGCUCGUGAGUCCGCGGCUCGCACCCAGGGGCGCCCGCACGUGCGGCUAGAACGUCCGAGUCGGGGUCCGGGGCGGGGGGCGCAGGCCCGCGGCGGUAGGGGAGGAGAGCGGGCACCCGAGUCUCCAUCCUCAGGGUGGCCUGAAGGUUCCAGGAGGGCGUCCGGCGAAGGCACGGGGCUGCGACCAUCCAGUUAGCAGGGCUGGUGUGACUGUUGAGAGUAAAUGAAAAUUCGUUUUGUGACACCGACCACCUCCAAGGAAUGAAAGGAGCAGUCAGCCGAAACGACAGCAUUACUUGCGUCCUUACCUAAUUGGAACCUUAUCCGUGGCUGAGGGUGCCACCAUUGGAGGGGCCGCCGCCCCCUCUGACACCACCUGGCGCUCCGCUCCAUUUAGGAGCUAGAACGAAAAGGAGGCCCAUCCCCCAGUAAGUCACAGCCCACGCCAAGAUGAGUUCUGGAGCCUGUGCGACCGAAGUUUCUUCACCGCAGGGCGAGGUGGACAAGGGUGUGAGUUACUUUGACUUCAAGACGUCUCAGUGGCGGCUGGUUCUGGAGAGAGGCUUUAUGCUGGAGCACUUCCAGCAAAGUUCGGCUGGGGCCUCCUUAACUCACUGGCUGGUCACCCUUGGCCUCGGUUUUCAACCAAAGCCUAAGGCCUCAGUUUUCAACGCUGUAAAUGGAAAUAAAUGAGAGAAGAAAGUACAGCCCGUGUGACAAGUGCAGCAAGCAAUGCAACUUCCUUGGGACCUACCCUUUGUGGUCCCUUGCUUUAAAAGUAUAGAUUCACAUUUAGUUAGACCUGUUUCUUCCUCGCAUGCAAUUUCACCAGUCUUUUCCCAGACUUCUGUACUCAACAGAGGAAGUUCCUUCCUGGGAGACCAUAGCUGUUUGUAUGUAAAGAGUUGCGAAAAAACAAAAGCAAAACAAAAAACUCCAACACCUCUCUGUCACAGAAGUAUUGAAUUAUAUAGACUGGAAAAAUGGAAGUAUCCAAGAAAACGCGUGUGAAGAAACUGUUAGAGCACCCUGGGAUGUGUGGGCCUGGGACUGUUUGCCUUUGGCACGGCUAUGCUCCGAGCUUUGGAGGAGCCAAGGAAGAAAGGCCUAGUUCCUGAUCUUAAGGCCUUUGCAGUGUGCAUUGGGAGACAUAGACUGCAAUGAAAAGAUCAUUAUUGCAAGAGACAAAUGGCAUGGAGCCACAUUCCCAGAGACAGAGUUUCACCAUGUUGCCCAGGCUGGUCUCAAAC
rnacentral:lncRNA from 1 species